GUUAUCUUAAUCUAUCUCUAAAGUUACCUUACAUUCGUAACAGAUACUUCAAAUGGCCAGGCUCAGUACGUUUAAAAUUUGACUAUCAGAAUCUGAAGGUAAGCUGUGUUGUGAACAGGAAGUUAUUUUCACAAAGACUUCAUCUGGAAAUGAUGGACAUCCAUGUAGAGCCUACACCAAGGAAGAUGAAAGCAUGUAGAAUUUGCCAUGAUAGUGAUGAAGAUUCAAACAUGGAGAUUCCCCGCUCUUGCCAUGGAACCCUCAAGCAUUGCUUGAAUAUCUCUUUGUUUGGCACAAGAUGAAGAAUGCUCCUAUAUUUGGCACGAGGGUGAACUGAAGCCCAUGGAUGCAGAGCAACAGAGAGAGUAUGGUCACAAGAUGGUGAAUUUCAUUGUUGAUUAUUACAAGAACAAUGAGAACUCAAUGUUCUUAAUCAAGUUCAGGUUUUCAUAAUAACCUAUCAAUUUCUUUUUGUAUCC